rnacentral:rRNA from 1 species
UGAGCAACCUGCCCUUGACCCCGGAAUAACAGCUGGAAACAGCUGCUAAUACCGGAUACGACCUCCGAUGGCAUCAUCUGGAGGUGGAAAGCUCCGACGGUCAAGGAUGGGCUCGCGGCCUAUCAGCUUGUUGGUGAGGUAACGGCUCACCAAGGCUUCGACGGGUAGCCGGCCUGAGAGGGCGACCGGCCACACUGGGACUGAGAUACGGCCCAGACUCCGACGGGAGGNAGCG